GAUGAAGAACGCAGCGAAAUGCGAUACGUAAUGUGAAUUGCAGAAUUCAGUGAAUCAUCGAGUCUUUGAACGCACAUUGCGCCCCCUGGUAUUCCGGGGGGCAUGCCUGUCCGAGCGUCAUUGCUGCCCUCAAGCACGGCUUGUGUGUUGGGCCUCCGUCCUCCUCCCGGGGGACGGGCCCGAAAGGCAGCGGCGGCACCGCGUCCGGUCCUCGAGCGUAUGGGGCUUCGUCACCCGCUCUUGUAGGCCCGGCCGGCGCUUGCCGACACAUCAAUCUUUUUUCCAGGUUGACCUCGGAUCAAGUAGGGAUACCCGCUGAACUUAAGCAUAUCAAUAAGCGGAGGA
rnacentral:misc_RNA from 1 species